rnacentral:rRNA from 1 species
CCUACGGGGUGCAGCAGUGGGGAAUAUUGGACAAUGGGCGAAAGCCUGAUCCAGCCAUGCCGCGUGUGUGAAGAAGGCCUUCGGGUUGUAAAGCACUUUCAGUGGGGAAGAAAGCCUUGGGGCUAAUACCCUCGAGGAAGGACAUCACCCACAGAAGAAGCACCGGCUAACUCCGUGCCAGCAGCCGCGGUAAUACGGAGGGUGCGAGCGUUAAUCGGAAUUACUGGGCGUAAAGCGCGCGUAGGCGGUCUGAUAAGCCGGUUGUGAAAGCCCCGGGCUCAACCUGGGAACGGCAUCCGGAACUGUUAGGCUAGAGUGCAGGAGAGGAAGGUAGAAUUCCCGGUGUAGCGGUGAAAUGCGUAGAGAUCGGGAGGAAUACCAGUGGCGAAGGCGGCCUUCUGGACUGACACUGACGCUGAGGUGCGAAAGCGUGGGUAGCAAACAGGAUUAGAUACCCUAGUAGUC